CAAGCUGGAAAGAGAUCUUGAAACUUUAGGAAAGCUUUGCAGUGUACGGGUGGAGGAAAAGGCUUGGAAUGUUAAGGGACUGAUAUAAACUCAGUUAAUUGGCACAUAGCUGAGGCUGGUAUCCACAUUUCUUAACUGAAAACCCAGUGUGUUAUUUAACCAAGCAGGGUGCCAACAGAAGUGAGAUCAAGCUCUUCAUUUGGGAAUAGUAUGGCAUAAGACUAUUCAAAUGGCUACAUAAUAUCCUAAUAGUGGUGGCCAUCAGACACUCUGAACAGAGAUCCUUGAUCCAGCCAUCCAUCUCCUUCCAGCAGCAGCAUGUAUUGACUUCUUGUUUCCCCAGCCUGAACUGACAUCAACUCCCAAUUUCGUGGUUGAAGUUAUAAAGAAUGAUGAUGGCAAGAAGGCCCUUGUGUUGGACUGUCAUUAUCCAGAGGAUGAGGUAUGCAGGAUGGAGUGCUAGCCUCUUGGCACCCCUGGGGAACAGUGUGUCCCUUGGGAACUUCCUGUCCCUAUUUUAGCAGAAAUUUAAACACUUUUCUAGCUUAGACCAGCCCAGCAGGGGGAGAGAGGUGGGGAGUGAGGGAAGAGGGUUAAAACCUGAUGAGUUUCAUGCUGUCAGUGGCCCCCUUUCUUCCCCUGAGUCUAGCUUGUCCUGGAGAACCCUUCAGUUUCCCAAUAUUGUUUCUUCUCAGGUUGGACAAGAAGACGAGGCUGAGAGUGACAUCUUCUCUAUCAGGGAAGUUAGCUUUCAGUCCACUGGCGAGUCUGAAUGGAAGGAUACUAAUUAUACACUCAACACAGAUUCCUUGGACUGGGCCUUAUAUGACCACCUAAUGGAUUUCCUUGCCGACCGAGGGGUGGACAACACUUUUGCAGAUGAGCUGGUGGAGCUCAGCACAGCCCUGGAG
rnacentral:lncRNA from 10 species